GACGAACGCUGGCGGCGUGCCUAAUACAUGCAAGUCGAACGCUGAAGGAGGAGCUUGCUUCUCUGGAUGAGUUGCGAACGGGUGAGUAACGCGUAGGUAACCUGCCUGGUAGCGGGGGAUAACUAUUGGAAACGAUAGCUAAUACCGCAUAAGAGUAGAUGUCGCAUGACAUCUGCUUAAAAGGUGCAAUUGCAUCACUACCAGAUGGACCUGCGUUGUAUUAGCUAGUUGGUGAGGUAACGGCUCACCAAGGCAACGAUACAUAGCCGACCUGAGAGGGUGAUCGGCCACACUGGGACUGAGACACGGCCCAGACUCCUACGGGAGGCAGCAGUAGGGAAUCUUCGGCAAUGGACGGAAGUCUGACCGAGCAACGCCGCGUGAGUGAAGAAGGUUUUCGGAUCGUAAAGCUCUGUUGUAAGAGAAGAACGAGUGUGAGAGUGGAAAGUUCACACUGUGACGGUAUCUUACCAGAAAGAGACGGCUAACUACGUG
rnacentral:rRNA from 1 species